rnacentral:rRNA from 1 species
CCUACGGGAGGCAGCAGUGGGGAAUAUUGGGCAAUGGGCGCAAGCCUGACCCAGCAACGCCGCGUGAAGGAAGAAGGCUUUCGGGUUGUAAACUUCUUUUGUCAGGGACGAAGCAAGUGACGGUACCUGACGAAUAAGCCACGGCUAACUACUUGCCAGCAGCCGCGGUACUACGUAGGUGGCAAGCGUUAUCCGGAUUUACUGGGUGUAAAGGGCGUGUAGGCGGGGAUGCAAGUCAGAUGUGAAAACCACGGGCUCAACCUGUGGCCUGCAUUUGAAACUGUUUUUCUUGAGUGCUGGAGAGGCAAGCGGAAGUCCGUGUGUAGCGGUGAAAUGCGUAGAUAUACGGAGGAACACCAGUGGCGAAGGCGGAUUGCUGGACAGUAACUGACGCUGAGGCGCGAAAGCGUGGGGAGCAAACAGGAUUAGAUACCCUUGUAGUC